GUCUAAGCUAAUUAUACCGUGCGACUAGCGAAUGGCUCAUUAAAUCAGUUAUCGUUCAUUUGAUAGUACCUUACUACUUGGAUAACCGUGGUAAUUCUAGAGAUAAGACAUGCUAAAACACCCCGACUUCGGGAGGGGUGUAUUUAUUAGAUAAAAAACCAAUGCCCUUCGGGGCUCUUUGGUGAUUCAUGAUAACUUAACGGAUCGCAUGGCCUUGCGCCGGCGACGGUUCAUUCAAAUUUCUGCCCUAUCAACUUUCGAUGGUAAGGUAUUGGCUUACCAUGGUUUCAACGGGUAACGGGGGAUUAGGGUUCGACUCCGGAGAGGGAGCCUGAGAAACGGCUACCACAUCCAAGGAAAGGCAGCAGGCGCGCAAAUUACCCAAUCCCGACACGGGGAGGGUAGUGACAAUAAAUACUGAUACAGGGCCUCUUUUGGGUCUUGUAAUUGGAAAUGAGUACAAUUUAAAUCCCUUAACGAGGAACAAUUGGAGGGCAAGUCUGGUGCCAGCAGCCGCGGUAAUUCCAGCUUCCAAUAGCGUAUAUUAAAGUUGUUGCAGUUAAAAAGCUCGUAGUUGAACCUUGGGGCCUGGCUGGCCGGUCCGCCUCACCGCGUGCACUGGUUCGGCCGGGCCUUUCCUUCUGGAGAGCCCCAUGCCCUUCACUGGGUGUGCGGGGGAACCAGGACUUUUACUUUGAAAAAAUUAGAGUGUUCAAAGCAGGCCUUUGCUCGAAUACAUUAGCAUGGAAUAAUAGAAUAGGACGUGCGGUCCUCUUUUUUUGGUUUCUAGGACCGCCGUAAUGAUUAAUAGGGAUAGUCGGGGGCAUCCGUAUUCAAUUGUCAGAGGUGAAAUUCUUGGAUUUAUUGAAGACGAACUACUGCGAAAGCAUUUGCCAAGGAUGUUUUCAUUAAUCAGUGAACGAAAGUUAGGGGAUCGAAGACGAUCAGAUACCGUCGUAGUCUUACCCCUAAACUACACCGACUAGGGAUCUGGCGAU
rnacentral:rRNA from 1 species